rnacentral:lncRNA from 1 species
CCUCACACUGCUGGCAAGCCCAUCCUUUGUCCUGCCGGUGAGAGACAAGCAGCUCGCUGGGGGCAGCUUCCAUUCCAGUUGCACAGGGUUCACAGAGGGAAGGCUUUGUGCUAGGCCAGGCGCAGGGGGAGUAGCUCCCAGGGACCAGCCCAGGGUCCAUGUGUCCCCAGGGGGAUGGUGAGACAGAGAGCAGUGUGUCUGCCCCUGGCCUGGACCUGCUGGCCACGGGUCUGUGCUGGGAGGUGGACCAGAGCUCUGGGCCCUGCCAGGCGUGCCUGUUCUUUCCUGCAUGCCCUGUUUCUAGGGCUUGGGCUCCAGGAGGCCUGGCCUUUGCUGGCCCUCCGGCUGAGGGCUGCUCCAGCUGGGCUGAGUGGGCAGGGGCCGGGGGCUGCUGGUAGGUGGGAGCCUCCUUAGGCAUUCCUGGCUUUGGGCUCUGUGGCCUCCCUCGCGGAGUGCUGAGGCUGCAGUUGGCCUUUGGUCCCAGGGCGAGCAGAUUGGUGUUAGGUCCCAGCCCCCUUGGCCAGGCAGCCAGGCAGAGUCAGUCACUUGCUUGGCACACAUCUCUCCUGGCCUCCACCCUUGCGGACUUGUGAUGAGACUCAGAGAUGGUGUCAUGGCACAGUGCUUGGUCUGGGCUCAGGGACUCCAUGAGGUUGGCAGCUAAGGUGGUGGCUGCACCUGCGUGAAGCCCUCGCUUGUGCUGCGCUGGGCACCCCCAGGCCUCUGCCUCCUCCAGGGCCCUUCUGUGCUCAGCUAAUCCCAGCUCUUUGGGAGGCCAAGGUGGGAGGAUCACUUGAGGCCAGGAGUUCAAGACCAGCCUGGGCAACAUGGCAAAACCCCGUCUUUACCAAAAAUACAAAAAUUAGCUGGGCAUGGUGGCACAUACCUGUGAUCCCAGCUACUCGGGAGGCUGAGGGAGGAGAAUUGCUCGAGCCUGGGAGGUUGCAGUGAGCCGAGAUCGUGCCAUUUCAUUCCAGUCUGGGCGACAGAACGAGACUCUGUCUCAAAAAAAAAAGAAACCCAGCCAAGCAUACCGUCAUCUAGGGAGGCUUCAGACGGCUCUGGAAGGAGCUGGGCCUGGGCAGACCCAAGAGCCGUGUGGGGGCUGUCGCGGGAGGGCAGGGCGUUGGGUCCCAGGUGGAAGGCUGAAUGGGGCGAUGCAGCCGGGUGUUACAGCACAGUGGGGUGGGAGGAGGUGGGGCUGGGGGCGCUGGUCGGCUGUCCCCCGUUAGCCGACACCUGCUGCACGCCAGGACACGUGGAUUUCAUCCUGGUGACAGGGAGCAAGCAGAGACCCAUGCGGUCCCUGGUGGCCACAGUGAGGUGGCCGGAUGGCGGUUAGGUCGUGGGCUUGUCUGGGAGUGGAUGGUAGGGGUGGCUUGGACAGUUGGCGGUAUCCCCUGGUCACUUGGGGAGGAGGGAUUGGGGAGGUGUCCAGCUCUGGGAGGCCAGCAGGGGCU